rnacentral:lncRNA from 1 species
AGCAUCUUAAGGGUCCAAAACGUGGUUGUUCAGAUUUUAGGCGAAUUUUACCAUUUAAUUUAGGGUUAUGCUUCCUAUUUUAUUUUGGUUAUCUUAGUUUCCUAGUUGGAAUAAAGGACCUGGUUUUUAGGGUUUUGCGGGGGGGGGGGGGGGGGGGGGGGGGGGGCAUAGUAGAUAUAUUGCUUUGCCAUUCUCACUUUUUGGCUGCGCUUUGUUUUUUGCAACUUUGGAGACCGAGAGAAUUGUUAGGGUUCUUGGAGAUUUUCUACUUGAAGUUUCAAUCCUUUUCUUAAUAAUAUUUUCUAUGAUUUUAAUUAUGAAUAUGCGUAACUAAUUCAUUUUGCUAGGGCGAAGCCGUGAGCCUUAGCAUGAAUAUGUGAUUUUUUUAUUUAAUUGCUUAUGAUUGAUUGCAUGCAUAGUUUGAAUUAUUAAUCACCAUGAUUAAAACUAUCUAAUUGUCUUAGUGCUUGACCACCAUUAGGAUCUUUAGAAAAGUAAUUUGAUGCAAUUUUGGUUGGAAGGUUCCCUGAAAUUGACGCUGGCUUCUUGUGAUUAAUAAUUGUAAUUUCACUUAGGAUGAACACCACGUCUUAAGGGUUGCAUGGUUUUUCAAAGGGUUUUCAUAGAGCAUAAUUAGUCUUUCAUGUUCAGAUUUGAUCCGAACGUCCAAACGGGUUGCAUGUUAGAUAUACAUUCUAUGUUGUAGGUUCCAAGUAGAAUAUGGAUUAGGAAAAUCUAACCUUCAAAGUGGCAUGUGUAGAUCAUAAGUAAUUGGUAAAAGUUCAUAGGAUUGUUAGGUGAUGGUGGAACCCUAGUGCUUUCUUAAUUUGAUUUCUCCAAAAUUGGUUCCUUUUCUUUCAUCUUUAAUAUUGCAGAUUAGUUUACUUUUAUUAAUUAAAUUCAUUUUUAAUUUAAGUAGGUUAUAAAAUCAAUCAUCUCAAUUUCUACUUUACAAUAAUUAAUUGGAAUUUGGUCUGUUUUGAAUUAUUUAAUAAUCCAUGUGGAGAACAGCUUUACAAGAUCUGUUUAUACUACAAUAACCUUGUAAUUCUUGCAAGUAUUAUAGGAGUUUUUAGUCCGUUCAUGUGUGUAGUAAAAUCCCUAUCAAGUGUGUGGUGAGCGGGUAUGAACCCAUUUCACACGUGAUGAUAAAGCAUAAGUACAGUACAGUAAAAUAGGGUGAGAAUUAUACCAUCGAUGGUAAUCGUCUAUCCAAGAUUUGCCA